rnacentral:tRNA from 1 species
GGGGCCUUAGCUCAGCUGGGAGAGCGCAACACUGGCAGUGUUGAGGUCAGCGGCUCGAUCCCGCUAGGCUCCA